GUUAAAGUGAUAUCAUGGUUCCGGCUGGCGAUGGUAGGUUCACUGUUCACUGUUCAGUCGUCUUCUUCAACCAAGAGCGAUAAGUGUUUCUCUUUGGGCUUGGCCUUGGGUCUGAGAAAGUAGAAUUAUUGGAGAUGCUCAUAGCCACGUGGAUAAAGAUGAGAAGCUUAUAAAUCUACACCUAGGUUUAAAGGAGUUAUUGCUAAUGAUGAUGUGGUACAUUAACAUUCCUAUCUUUAUUAACAAAUAACCAUUUAGUGGACCUGAUUCAUAAGAUAAGAUGAAGAAUGUGAAACAACCAAAUAACAUGCUUUCAUUUGGUUAGUGGAGUGGAGUCACCCUGUUUGUUUUGAGACGAAUUGAUCUUGUUUUGAGUACUGAAUUGUAAUUUCACACAUGCAAGAAAGCAAAUUAUUAUUAAAUU
rnacentral:lncRNA from 1 species